rfam:Schistosoma haematobium scaffold799_13, whole genome shotgun sequence.
AUCUAGCUGACGAGUCCAAAAUAGGAUGAAACACGCAUCCUGGAU